rnacentral:snoRNA from 1 species
UUUCUACUAUAGAAGCAAGAAAAAAAGAAUCUUCUGAUUUCUGUCUGCCUAAUUGUGGCAGCCAAGAUUAAAUGGGGUAAUACAGGA